GUUCACUGCCAGAUAGGCAGCUUAGAAA
rfam:Acinetobacter sp. ANC 3994 genomic scaffold acLZV-supercont1.10, whole genome shotgun sequence.